rnacentral:lncRNA from 10 species
AAUGACUGAAGCAGGCAAGGCCGCUUAUCCAGUAGACCCUGACAAUGCCACGCAUGCUGCGGAAACUGCUCAGACAAGAGCUUACAAAGAAGCAGACAAAGCCAGCAUGGAAACGGGUGAUAAGCAGAGAUCUGCGGCCAUCAAGAGGGAGAGAAGAGGAGGCAGCUGCAAAGACUGAGGCCAGAAAACCAAUGGAGAGUCAGGACUGUUUAGGACAUUGUUGAAUUUUAACAUCUCCAGAUGCUGGCACUAAACGCUGGAGCACCUUCCAUCCUUCAGUAAAUGCAACAACUGGAAAUGGCCCCCUAUGGUUCUCAGUGUCCCCUGGAGGGGUAGUAUCAUCUUCCAUACGCCGUGUGAAUCACUAUGACUAGUGUGUGGAUCUGUGUGCUAGCAUAUGGGUAGCCUUCUACUCCUGUGUCCUUCAUACAAAUAUAGAGGAAAUCGCUCAUCUGUAAGUUCAAUGAAAAAGCCGCACAAUGAAUCCAACUCUGAAAAAGCUGAAUGCUUUCACACUAUGUCAUCCUGCCUGCCUGUCCUGCUCUUCUCAGAACCCCAAUCUUCUUAGAUGAAUGCUCAGAAGCUCUGUCUCCUGUAGCCACCUUCAGCCCACAUACCACCUGUGCAAAAAUGUACAUACAUAUCAAUGUGCAUGAGCAUGGUGUCACAACACACAUCUAACUUUGUGUCUGUUUGCAGAUGCGCAUCCAUGAUAUGGACCACUUGUGCCAUUUCUAAGUUUGGGAAAUAUUUAAUAUCAUUCAAAGCCAACCAAUAUGGCAGUAUGCUUUGAAAG